rnacentral:rRNA from 1 species
GAGUUUGAUCGUGGCUCAGAUUGAACGCUGGCGGCAGGCCUAACACAUGCAAGUCGAACGGUAACAGGAAACAGCUUGCUGUUUCGCUGACGAGUGGCGGACGGGUGAGUAAUGUCUGGGAAGCUGCCUGAUGGAGGGGGAUAACUACUGGAAACGGUAGCUAAUACCGCAUAACGUCGCAAGACCAAAGAGGGGGACCUUCGGGCCUCUUGCCAUCGGAUGUGCCCAGAUGGGAUUAGCUAGUAGGUGGGUAACGGCUCACCUAGGCGACGAUCCCUAGCUGGUCUGAGAGGAUGACCAGCCACACUGGAACUGAGACACGGUCCAGACUCCUACGGGAGGCAGCAGUGGGGAAUAUUGCACAAUGGGCGCAAGCCUGAUGCAGCCAUGCCGCGUGUAUGAAGAAGGCC